AUCCAGAGAACUUAGCAGAGAUGCUUUGGUGCCUUCGGGAACUCUGAGACAGGUGCUGCAUGGCUGUCGUCAGCUCGUGUUGUGAAAUGUUGGGUUAAGUCCCGNAACGAGCGCAACCCUUAUCCUUUGUUGCCAGCGGUUCGGCCGGGAACUCAAAGGAGACUGCCGGUGAUAAACCGGAGGAAGUGGGGAUGACGUCAAGUCAUCAUGGCCCUUACGGCCAGGGCUACACACGUGCUACAAUGGCGCAUACAAAGAGAAGCGACCUCGCGAGAGCAAGCGGACCUCAUAAAGUGCGUCGUAGUCCGGAUUGGAGUCUGCAACUCGACUCCAUGAAGUCGGAAUCGCUAGUAAUCGUAGAUCAGAAUGCUACGGUGAAUACGUUCCCGGGCCUUGUACACACCGCCCGUCACACCAUGGGAGUGGGUUGCAAAAGAAGUAGGUAGCUUAACCUUCGGGAGGGCGCUUACCACUUUGUGAUUCAUGACUGGGGUGAAGUCGUAACAAGGUAGGCGUAGCGAG
rnacentral:rRNA from 1 species